CUGCUUGCCCACGCCGUAGCCCGGAAACAGAUAUCCGCCGUAGCCGAAGUCCCCGCCCUGAUCGCCUAGGCGCGGGGCCUCGAAGGCCGAGUCCACGCCGCACUCGCCGAUGCAGCCCAGGCUGUUCUGCCGGAAGGUGGAAAGCGGCUUGCAGCCGGGAGCAUGCACCCGCCAGGCGUCGGAGUAGCGGCUGUCCAGCGCGGCGUCGGGGCUGCCAGCCAGGAAGUCGCCGUCGCUGUUGUACUCGAGGAUCUUGCCGGUGCGCACCGCGAUGUGCGUCUCGAUCUCCUCCCGCGCGCGUUCCACGUUGCCCGGGGCGCCGGUGAUCUCGAACACCGGGUCGCGGUCCCGGCUGGGGGUGAUGAUGUAUGUGUUGGUCUGCUGCUGGAUGCGUUUGAUGGUCGCUCCUUUGGGGCCCACCACCAGUCCCACCACACGGUAGGGCACUCGAACGCGGAUGGUCACCUGGCCCGGCAGAGCAGGGGCCACACCAAAGGCGGCGCCAGACUUGUUUCGUGAGGCUCUUAUCAUGGAGAAGUGCUCAGCGGCUGAGAUGAUUUCCCGCCGGGCUGUGGCCACGUCUUCCCGCCUUCCAGUCACCAUGAACACCGGCUCCUCACCUCGCACAGGAGUCUUGAUACCUGUUGGCAGUCAAGAAGUCCUACUUGAACACAGCGGAUGGUGCAUUUGUGAGGCUUGGAGGCCCAGAGCACAGUUCUGCCAACUCUACUUACAUGCCAUCUGAAGGGCACCUAAGCGCUGGCUCUCAAGUUCUGGAUCCCAAAACUUCAGUGGGAGCUAGUACACUGGAAACUCCUGGAAAGCCGAGGUUAGGUCUGGUGCACUCCUGUGAUCCCAGCAUCUGGUGCAUAGACACUCGCUGUACAGCAGCUGGACACGUUCAUCUCUCCUUGAACAUCCCCCGGCACAUACCCACUGCCAGAUGUUCAACUGCUGCUUCCCACCAUACCUCCCAUUCCAGCACCUCCACCCCUGGCCCUCGGUCCUCCGGCCAGCAAGGGGGUACUGUCUGCAUGCAAUUUGCCAUGUAAUGUCCUGGGUCCCCCUGCUCUGCAGCACCUAAUCUGGAGCUCCCAAACUGCGAAUGCCAUCCACGGUUCUCAUUCUCUUUGGCUGAUGACUCGGAAGUGAUGUCAGAGCAUUCCCUUCCCCUCAUCCCUGGCAGGUAAAGGAUGCUGACACAAAGUAUGCAUGGCUUGCUUUUCCUUUCAGACCUCACUGGGGAGCACGUGCUCUGGGAUGACCUGACCAUGUACACCUCCCGAAGCACACAGAUACUGACCAACAACUUCCUUUGCACUCAGCUCGUAUGUUAAAAACCAGUUUACAUGUUCUGCAUGCCACACCAGCAUGAAAGUUGUUUUGGGACAUCCCCCAGGUGUGUCUAAAGUCUGGCACACGGCAGGUAAUGUUGACAAAUGUGUUUGUGAAUCAAUGAAUGAA